CUUGAGAAUGGGAGUGCCUACUCCUCCCUCAACAGCUGACGUAAAAGGGAGAACUUCCUGGAGGCCAGCCAAGAGCCUACUGGGGCAUAAUCAGGCUGCCCAGCUUGUUGGCUUGGACAUGGCUCCUCUCCACUUAGGAGGCUCUGCCCACUCACAUUCCAGGCCUCAGCUUGCCAUGUUUUCCUGUUAAGCCCAGAACCCUUCCCCUGGGUCCCUUCCUCAGAGGGGACAUGUUGGGAGCCACAGUCUCAGAGAUACUUGGGAUUUUAAACAUGAUGCAACUCUAGGGCUGACUUUGGAAUUCUGUGGGCUGUGCUUGGCCCAGAUCCCACCUUUGGGCCACUUUUGCUGCUGCUAUUAUUUUUAGUUGGUGGGGCAAUCAUUGUGUGCCUUUGUACAGUUUUCAUUUGGGAAGCCUUAGAGCUCUUUAACUCCACUCCAUUCUAUCACAUCCUUGUUUAGCAAUGAUCAUCCUUUUGCAUUACAAACUAGAAAAGCAACUCCGUAAGACUAACAAACUCUCUUCAACCAAGUAAAGGAGACUCCUUGUGGAGGGGAGCCCCUGCCCGCUCACCUGGAUGACCAUGCCUCACCUCUGCCGAUCACAUGCAAAUAUUUGUCCUGUUCUGAGACAUCCUCCUGGGUCCCAGCUUCUUCUCUUGAAGAUACAGAUUUCCAGUGCACCAUCAGAAGCCGAAGUAACUGUGAGUGGGAGGCAUUGGAGCCGGCUGGGAGGUAAGCAUUCGGGCCAGCAGGGAGGAGGAGUCGCCCAUGUAGCAGUGCUGGAUGACAACAUUCCCACACUGCCCUCGGACACAUCACAGACCCUGGUACCACAGGAUCCCUCUGAUUCAACUGAAGAGAGAUGCAGAGCUGCAUGCCACCAA